rnacentral:tRNA from 1 species
UUUUCCGUAGUAUAGUGGUCAGUAUGUGAGCUUGUCAACUUUCCGUCGAAUCGCUCGAGACCCGGGUUCAAUUCCCGGCGGGAGAG